AAAACUUUUAAGUGCAGUACUAUAAUUUUAAUUCAUUGUUAAAAUAAAAUUAUGAAGAUUUAAAAUAUAUCUACCAUUGAAUAUUUUAAAAAAGACAUUUAUUUAGUAUCAUUUCUUCAGAACCCCUCUUGGACCCCAGUCUAGAACGGCUCCUGGGCUGCAGGUUUGGUGCAUUUUUGCUUGGCAUGUUUUGUCUUCAUUGAUAGGAAGUCAGCUGUGGUUUACUAGUUUUAAAAUUGUUAUAUCUAAUUUAUUUUAAAUUGAGAAUUUGUGAAUUUUAUCUUAUUCAGUUAUUUUUAUUUAUUGUUCGUUGUUUUUGCCUGCGGGGGUCGCCCUUCUGCACUCUGCCUCGUUUGUGUCUCCUUGGCUUCCGUAGUUCAUUCCAGUCCUAGUAACUCCUCCGCUCCCUCCUUUUCCCUCAGAGCGAUUUUCCGCGCUGCUGUGGAUCAUCUUAAAACAGCUGGUGGAAGCUGUGGAAGUCCUACAAAAGUCCUGCUGGUGGAAGUGGGGUCACUUAACAUGAAAAUGGCUUAGCAUCAAUCCCCUCCUGUCCAGAACUUUUGCUGAAUCAUAUUUUUGAUAGACUCCGUG